GAUGAACGCUGACAGAAUGCUUAACACAUGCAAGUCAACUUGAAUUUGGGUUUUUAACUUAGGUUUGGGUGGCGGACGGGUGAGUAACGCGUAAAGAACUUGCCUCACAGAUAGGGACAACAUUUGGAAACGAAUGCUAAUACCUGAUAUUAUGAUUUUAGGGCAUCCUAGAAUUAUGAAAGCUAUAUGCGCUGUGAGAGAGCUUUGCGUCCCAUUAGCUAGUUGGAGAGGUAACGGCUCACCAAGGCGAUGAUGGGUAGCCGGCCUGAGAGGGUGAUCGGCCACAAGGGGACUGAGACACGGCCCUUACUCCUACGGGAGGCAGCAGUGGGGAAUAUUGGACAAUGGACCGAGAGUCUGAUCCAGCAAUUCUGUGUGCACGAUGAAGUUUUUCGGAAUGUAAAGUGCUUUCAGUUGGGAAGAAAUAAAUGACGGUACCAACAGAAGAAGUGACGGCUAAAUACGUGCCAGCAGCCGCGGUAAUACGUAUGUCACGAGCGUUAUCCGGAUUUAUUGGGCGUAAAGCGCGUCUAGGUGGUUAUGUAAGUCUGAUGUGAAAAUGCAGGGCUCAACUCUGUAUUGCGUUGGAAACUGUAUAACUAGAGUACUGGAGAGGUAAGCGGAACUACAAGUGUAGAGGUGAAAUUCGUAGAUAUUUGUAGGAAUGCCGAUGGGGAAGCCAGCUUACUGGACAGAUACUGACGCUAAAGCGCGAAAGCGUGGGUAGCAAACAGG
rnacentral:rRNA from 1 species